AUCGUAACAAGGUUUCCGUAGGUGAACCUGCGGAAGGAUCAUUGUCGAAUCCUGCAACAGCAGUACCACUCGCGAACAAGUUCACAAUCGAGGAACGGACCGGGCGUGCCCGACACCCGUCCCUCACGGCGCCCGGGCGUUCAGUCCGCGCGCCUAACAAACCCCCGGCGCGAGAAGCGCCAAGGAAUACUCUAACAAGGGCCGGAUCCGUCCCCUCCCGUUCGCGGGGUCGGGGGAUCGGGGAACGCUCCUUCAUAAACUGAAACGACUCUCGGCAACGGAUAUCUCGGCUCUCGCAUCGAUGAAGAACGUAGCGAAAUGCGAUACUUGGUGUGAAUUGCAGAAUCCCGUGAACCAUCGAGUCUUUGAACGCAAGUUGCGCCUGAAGCCAUUAGGCCGAGGGCACGUCUGCAUGGGCGUCACGCAUCGCGUCACCCCUCCCCCGAACUCGGAGGGCGGGGUGGAAUGUGACCUCCUGUGCCUCCCGGCGCAGCUGGUCGAAAUUCGAGUCCGGAGACUAGGACGUCACGACAAGUGGUGGUUGGACAACAACUCUCGUGCUGUCGUGCGCCGAAACCCUCGAGACUGUGAAGACCCUGGAGCGCACGUCGUCCUUCCCCUCGGGGACUGGGCGCUUGUGCUACGACCGCGACCCCAUGUCAGGCGGGAUUACCCGCUGAAUUUAAGCAUAUCAU
rnacentral:rRNA from 1 species